rnacentral:rRNA from 1 species
CGCUCGUAGUCGGGUUUCGGGUCGGGCCGAGCGGUCUGCCGAUGGGUAUGCACUGUUUGGCGCGGCCUUCUUUCCGGAGACCGCGGCUACUCUUAACUGAGCGGGCGUGGGAGACGGAUCGUUUACUUUGAAAAAAUCAGAGUGUUUCAAGCAGGCAGCUCGCUCUUGCAUGGUACAGCAUGGGAUGAUUGAAUAGGACUCCGGUGCUAUUUUGUUGGUUUCGAACACCAGGAGUAAUGAUUAACAGGGACAGUCAGGGGCACUCGUAUUCCGUCGAGAGAGGUGAAAUUCUCAGACCAAUGGAAGACGAACCACUGCGAAAGCAUUUGCCAGGGAUGUUUUCACUGAUCAAGAACGAAAGUUAGGGGAUCGAAGACGAUCAGAUACCGUCGUAGUCUUAACCAUAAACCAUGCCGACUAGGGAUUGGAGGGUGUUCGUUUCGACCUCUUCAGCACCUUACGGGAAACUAAAGUCUUUGGGUUCCGGGGGGAGUAUGGUCGCAAGGCUGAAACUUAAAGGAAUUGACGGAAGGGCACCACCAGGAGUGGAGCCUGCGGCUUAAUUUGACUCAACACGGGGAAACUUACCAGGUCCAGACAUUGUUAGGAUUGACAGAUUGAGAGCUCUUUCUUGAUUCGAUGGGUGGUGGUGCAUGGCCGUUCUUAGUUGGUGGAGUGAUUUGUCUGGUUAAUUCCGAUAACGAACGAGACCGUAGCCUGCUAAAUAGUCCCGCGAACUUCUUGUUGGCGGCCGACUUCUUAGAGGGACAACUUGUGACCAACAAGUGGAAGUUUGCGGCAAUAACAGGUCUGUGAUGCCCUUAGAUGUUCUGGGCCGCACGCGCGCUACACUGAAGCACUCAACGAGUCCACCUCGACC